GAUGAACGCUGGCGGCGUGCCUAACACAUGCAAGUCGAACGAAGCAUUUAAGAUGGAUUCCUUCGGGAUGAAGCCUUUUAUGACUGAGUGGCGGACGGGUGAGUAACGCGUGGGCAACCUGCCUUACACAGGGGGACAACAGCCGGAAACGGCUGCUAAUACCGCAUAAGCGCACAGUUUCGCAUGGAACAGUGUGAAAAACUCCGGUGGUGUAAGAUGGGCCCGCGUCUGAUUAGCUUGUUGGCGGGGUAACGGCCCACCAAGGCGACGAUCAGUAGCCGACCUGAGAGGGUGACCGGCCACAUUGGGACUGAGACACGGCCCAA
rnacentral:rRNA from 1 species